GUGCAGCCCACAGGCCCCCAGCAGCCCAUGAACUCCAGACUCUGACCACAAGGCCAGUCUGGAGUGAUGUGUGUGGGCAGAGUGAAGGGGCAGGAGGGGAGCAGAGUAUGGAUGCAUAGAACAAGAAAGAACAAGGACACUGCAGUCCCACUGCCCUGGGAGCCAGCCCUAGCUUCAAGGCUCCCGGUGGGGAGCUCACAGAACAUCGAUAGAAGAUCCUAGAAGAACAGCAGCCCAUGGCAGGUGCUUUUGUUUCCUUGGGUUUGAAGGAGGCUCCACAGACAGAGACCAGAGGAAGCUGAGGCUUGGAAGCCACAGGACCCCGUGGAAGGAGGGCAUCCCCCCAUCCUCCUCGUUCUUUGUCCUCACUAUUUAAAGUCCAAGGUCAAGCUGGGUGCGAGACAGGUAACCAACCCUCUGAGUAAAGAGAUCGCACAACAGGCAGGGCCCAGGCCUGGCACGGUGGUUCAUUCCUGUAAUCCCAACACAUUGGGAGGCUGAAGCGGUCGGAUCACUUGAGGUCAGGAGUUCGAGAACAACCUGGCCAACAUGCGGCCGAGAUCGCAGGUCUCUACAAUGACUCGGAGCCACCCCGGAAGACCAUGCGCAGAGGGGUGCUGAUGACCCUGCUGCAGCAGUCGGCCAUGACCCUGCCCCUGUGGAUCGGGAAGCCCGGUGACAAGUAUGAGGUAGAUGACAUCGAUGAAGAAGGCAAAGAGUGAGUGUCCAGGCCAGGGCCAGGCACGGAGCCUGGGGGCAGCCUAACGGCUGGGAAGGAGCAUCCCCAGCCAGCCACAGGUUGACACAAGUCCCUCUACAGCCAGGAGACACACCCUGAGCUGACGCUGGAUCAUCCCGCUGCCCCAGUGGAAGGCCAACCCCGAGAUGGACACGGAGGCCUUAUUUGGGCCAG